UCCUACGGGAGGCAGCAGUGGGGGAUAUUGCACAAUGGGGGAAACCCUGAUGCAGCGACGCCGCGUGGAGGAAGAAGGUCUUCGGAUUGUAAACUCCUGUCCGAGGGGACGAUAAUGACGGUACCCUUGGAGGAAGCACCGGCUAACUACGUGCCAGCAGCCGCGGUAAAACGUAGGGUGCAAGCGUUGUCCGGAAUUACUGGGUGUAAAGGGAGCGCAGGCGGACUGUCAAGUUGGGAGUGAAAACUACGGGCUCAACCCGUAACUUGCUUUCAAAACUGGCGGUCUUGAGUGGUGUAGAGGUG
rnacentral:rRNA from 1 species